rnacentral:rRNA from 1 species
GAUGAACGCUGGCGGCGUGCCUAAUACAUGCAAGUCGAGCGAACGGACGAGAAGCUUGCUUCUCUGAUGUUAGCGGCGGACGGGUGAGUAACACGUGGAUAACCUGCCUAUAAGACUGGGAUAACUUCGGGAAACCGGAGCUAAUACCGGAUAAUAUUUUGAACCGCAUGGUUCAAAAGUGAAAGACGGUCUUGCUGUCACUUAUAGAUGGAUCCGCGCUGCAUUAGCUAGUUGGUAAGGUAACGGCUUACCAAGGCAACGAUGCAUAGCCGACCUGAGAGGGUGAUCGGCCACACUGGAACUGAGACACGGUCCAGACUCCUACGGGAGGCAGCAGUAGGGAAUCUUCCGCAAUGGGCGAAAGCCUGACGGAGCAACGCCGCGUGAGUGAUGAAGGUCUUCGGAUCGUAAAACUCUGUUAUUAGGGAAGAACAUAUGUGUAAGUAACUGUGCACAUCUUGACGGUACCUAAUCAGAAAGCCACGGCUAACUACGUGCCAGCAGCCGCGGUAAUACGUAGGUGGCAAGCGUUAUCCGGAAUUAUUGGGCGUAAAGCGCGCGUAGCGGUUUUUUAGUCUGAUGUGAAAGCCCACGGCUCAACCGUGGAGGGUCAUUGGAAACUGGAAAACUUGAGUGCAGAAGAGGAAAGUGGAAUUCCAUGUGUAGCGGUGAAAUGCGCAGAGAUAUGGAGGAACACCAGUGGCGAAGGCGACUUUCUGGUCUGUAACUGACGCUGAUGUGCGAAAGCGUGGGGAUCAAACAGGAUUAGAUACCCUGGUAGUCCACGCCGUAAACGAUGAGUGCUAAGUGUUAGGGGGUUUCCGCCCCUUAGUGCUGCAGCUAACGCAUUAAGCACUCCGCCUGGGGAGUACGACCGCAAGGUUGAAACUCAAAGGAAUUGACGGGGACCCGCACAAGCGGUGGAGCAUGUGGUUUAAUUCGAAGCAACGCGAAGAACCUUACCAAAUCUUGACAUCCUUUGACAACUCUAGAGAUAGAGCCUUCCCCUUCGGGGGUCAAAGUGACAGGUGGUGCAUGGUUGUCGUCAGCUCGUGUCGUGGGAUGUUGGGUUAAGUCCCGCAACGAGCGCAACCCUUAAGCUUAGUUGCCAUCAUUAAGUUGGGCACUCUAAGUUGACUGCCGGUGACAAACCGGAGGAAGGUGGGGAUGACGUCAAAUCAUCAUGCCCCUUAUGAUUUGGGCUACACACGUGCUACAAUGGACAAUACAAAGGGCAGCGAAACCGCGAGGUCAAGCAAAUCCCAUAAAGUUGUUCUCAGUUCGGAUUGUAGUCUGCAACUCGACUACAUGAAGCUGGAAUCGCUAGUAAUCGUAGAUCAGCAUGCUACGGUGAAUACGUUCCCGGGUCU